rnacentral:rRNA from 1 species
GAGUUUGAUACCUGGCUCAGAUUGAACGCUGGCGGCAGGCCUAACACAUGCAAGUCGAGCGGUAACAGAGAGAAGCUUGCUUCUUUGCUGACGAGCGGCGGACGGGUGAGUAACGCGUAGGAAUCUACCUAUUAGUGGGGGAUAAGCCAGAGAAAUUUGGUCUAAUACCGCAUACGCCCUACGGGGGAAAGGAGGGGAUCUUCGGACCUUUCGCUAUUAGAUGAGCCUGCGUAAGAUUAGCUAGUUGGUGAGGUAAAGGCUCACCAAGGCGACGAUCUUUAGCUGGUCUGAGAGGAUGAUCAGCCACACUGGGACUGAGACACGGCCCAGACUCCUACGGGAGGCAGCAGUGGGGAAUAUUGGACAAUGGGGGGAACCCUGAUCCAGCCAUGCCGCGUGUGUGAAGAAGGCCUUCGGGUUGUAAAGCACUUUCAGUUGUGAGGGAAAGUUAGUCGUUAAUACCGGCUAGCCUUGACGUUAGCAACAGAAGAAGCACCGGCUAACUCAGUGCCAGCAGCCGCGGUAAUACUGAGGGUGCAAGCGUUAAUCGGAAUUACUGGGCGUAAAGCGCGCGUAGGCGGCUUGUUACGCCAGAUGUGAAAGCCCCGGGCUCAACCUGGGAACUGCAUUUGGAACUGACUCGCUAGAGUACAGUAGAGGGUGGUGGAAUUUCCAGU